rnacentral:tRNA from 1 species
AAGUAAGAAGCAAAUAUUGCAUUUAGUUUCGACCUAAACCUUUGGUGACCAAUCACCCUUAUUUA